rnacentral:rRNA from 1 species
UACGUAGGGUGCGAGCGUUGUCCGGAAUUAUUGGGCGUAAAGAGCUUGUAGGCGGUUUGUCGCGUCUGCCGUGAAAAUUCGAGGCUCAACCUCGAACUUGCGGUGGGUACGGGCAGACUAGAGUGUGGUAGGGGAGACUGGAAUUCCUGGUGUAGCGGUGAAAUGCGCAGAUAUCAGGAGGAACACCGAUGGCGAAGGCAGGUCUCUGGGCCACUACUGACGCUGAGACGCGAAAGCGUGGGGAGCGAACAGG